AUGCUCACUUUGGCAGCACAUAUACUAAAAUUGGAACGAUACAGAGAUUAGCAUGGCCCCUGCACAAGGAUGACAUGCAAAUUCGUGAAGCGUUCCAUAUUUUU
rnacentral:snRNA from 1 species